rnacentral:rRNA from 1 species
AUUGAACGCUAGCGGCAUGCUUAACACAUGCAAGUCGAACGAGUGGCGGACGGGUGAGUAAUGUCUGGGAAACUGCCCGAUGGCGGGGGAUAACUACUGGAAACUGUAGCUAAUACCGCAUACCAUCGGAUCUGCCCAUAUUGGAUUAGCUAGUAGGUGGGGUAAAGGCUCACCUAGGCGACGAUCCCUAGCUGGUCUGAGAGGAGGACCAGCCACACUGGAACUGAGACACGGUCCAGACUCCUACGGGAGGCAGCAGUGGGGAAUAUUGGACAAUGGGCGCAACCCUGAUGCAGCCAUGCCGCGUGUAUGAAGAAGGCCUUCGGGUUGUAAAGUACUUUCGGCGGGGAGGCGUUACCCGCAGAAGAAGCACCGGCUAACUCCGUGCCAGCAGCCGCGGUAAUAC